rnacentral:lncRNA from 1 species
CUUAUCCAAUAACUGAUAUAGAAAUCUAUGUGAAUAGAUAGAGUGGUUAAAAAGCCAGAAGUUGAAGAAGGUUCCUCACUCUCAGCCAUUCUCCUCACACAAACCAAAAUCUCUCUCCUUUCUCCAAAAGUUUUAGAUACAAGCCAUUGAUUCUUGUGUAGUGAAGCUAAAAGCUCUUCUUUAGCCAAAUGUUUUAGAUACUCUUUUAGCUUUUUUCUACAAUGACUUCUACACCAACCCCUCCACCAAACUACUCCUCACUCCCUGCUGCUCC